UACGUAGGCAGCGAGCGUUGUUCGGAGUUACUGGGCGUAAAGAGUGUGUAGGCGGUGUCGUAAGUUCGGUGUGAAAUCUCCCGGCUUAACUGGGAGGGUGCGCCGAAAACUGGAGUGCUCGAGCGUGGGAGAGGAAAGCGGAAUUCCUGGUGUAGCGGUGAAAUGCGUAGAUAUCGGGAGGAACACCAGUGGCGAAGGCGACUUCCUGGCCUGUUCUUGACGCUGAGGCGCGAAAGCUAGGGGAGCAAACGGGG
rnacentral:rRNA from 1 species